rnacentral:rRNA from 1 species
UAGGGAAUAUUGCACAAUGGGCGAAAGCCUGAUGCAGCAACGCCGCGUGCGCGAAGAAGGCCUUCGGGUUGUAAAGCGCUUUUCGGGGAGAUGAGGAAGGACAGUAUCCCCGGAAUAAGGCUCGGCUAACUACGUGCCAGCAGCCGCGGUAAAACGUAGGAGCCAAGCGUUAUCCGAAUUCACUGGGCGUAAAGCGCGUGUAGGCGGCUCGAUAAGUUGGAUGUGAAAGCUCCUGGCUCAACUGGGAGAGGACGUUCAAUACUGUCGGGCUAGAGGACGGUAGAGGGAGGUGGAAUUCCCGGUGUAGUGGUGAAAUGCGUAGAUAUCGGGAGGAACACCAGUGGCGAAGGCGGCCUCCUGGGCCGUUCCUGACGCUCAGACGCGAAAGCUAGGGGAGCGAACG